rnacentral:lncRNA from 1 species
UACAUACAUACAUACAUACAUACAUACAUACAUACAUACAUACAUACACACAUACACACAUACACACAUACACACAUACACACAUACACACAUACACACAUACACACAUACACACAUCCACACAUCCACACAUCCACACAUCCACACAUCCACACAUCCACACAUCCACACAUCCACACAUCCACACAUCCACACAUCCAUACAUCCAUACAUGCAUACAUGCAUACAUGCAUAC